rnacentral:lncRNA from 1 species
GCUUCUGCUAAAGGUGAUAGCAACUGUUCCUUCAUUGGACUGCAUAAUGGAUUGAACAGUGGUUGAUUCCUCCUUUUUUGGAGGCACCGCUUCUUCUAGAAGCCAACUGUCAGGUAAAUUAACCUGAUCCCAUUGGAUUGGUUUUGGAACUAUUAAAUUCCCUUUUGACAUAUUAGUCAAAAACAAAGUAGUCGUCCCUUUUGGAGAGACUAACUUUGUGGCACUAUCCCUCAAAUUAGGGACUACAGUAUUCAUUGCCUUAUAAUGAAUCCUAUAAAUCAGAAUUAAAUUUUCUGAUCCUGGUACCAUGUCGUACCCCAUUGUCUUUAUAUCCAAAAUAAGAGUUUUCAUUAUAUGUGGGUCGGAUAAUGACAACGUGAG